GUAGGUGGCAAGCGUUGUCCGGAAUUAUUGGGGCGUAAAGCGCGCGCAGGCGGUUCUUUAAGUCUGAUGUGAAAGCCCACGGGCUCAACCGUGGAGGGUCAUUGGAAACUGGAGAACUUGAGUACAGAAGAGGAAAGCGGAAUUCCACGUGUAGCGGUGAAAUGCGUAGAGAUGUGGAGGAACACCAGUGGCGAAGGCGGCUUUCUGGUCUGUAACUGACGCUGAGGCGCGAAAGCGUGGGGAGCAAACAGGAUUAGAUACCCUGGUAGUCCACGCCGUAAACGAUGAGCGCUAAGUGUUAGGGGGUUUCCGCCCCUUAGUGCUGCAGCUAACGCAUUAAGCACUCCGCCUGGGGAGUACGGCCGCAAAGGCUG
rnacentral:rRNA from 1 species